rnacentral:lncRNA from 1 species
GCAGUUCCUGGAUUUUCAGCUCUGAAACCUGAGCUGGGGGUGGAGUCAGGUCUCCUGCCCAGAACCUGGAGUGAGGCAGCCUGAUGCCCACACACGUGUCCAGGCCUGCACGUGUGUGCUGUGCCAGGGGAGGGGCCUGGAAAACUUGUUGAGCCCCGACCCCAUUUCCUCCAGAGUGCCCCUAGGAAAAGUCCGGCUGGAUGAGGUCAUGGCUGCUGCAGCCCUUACAAGCUUGUCUACCAGCCCCCUCUGCCUGGGGACCCCAGCUACAAACUUCAGCCCAGAGCCUGGCUUGGAGCCCUGGAAGGAGGCUCUGGCGCAUCCCCCAGGCAGCUACAGCAGCAGCAGCUACAGUGGAGACUGGGCCUGGGACCUGACCAGUGACCAGUCCUCUCCAUCCACUCCAUCGCCCCCACUCCCCCCAGAAUCAGCCCACUUCCUAUUUGGGGAGGCCACCCUGAGGAAGAGGAAGAGCUCUAUCCAGGUCAUGUUCCAGUGCCUGUGGAAGAGCUGUGGGAAGGUGCUGAGCACAGCGUCUGGGAUGCAGAGACACAUCCGCCUGGUGCACCUGGGAAGGCAGGCAGAGCCAGAGCAGAGCGAUGGUGAGGAGGACUUCUACUACACAGAGCUGGAUGUUGGUGUGGAUACACUGACUGAUGGGCUCUCCAGCCUGACCCCUGUGUCUCCAACAGUCUCCAUGCCACUCACCUUUCCUCAUCUGGAGCCCCCAGAGUUGCUGGAGCCCCCAGUCCUCCCUAGCCUGCUGCAGCCCCUAACCCUGUCCCCACCCUCCAUGCUCACCUCUGCAGCAACCCCAAAAGUAUGCCACAGUGAUCAUGCCUACCAGGCAGGUGAGGCCACAGGUAGAGACUGGGGGCAGGUCUCAGAGCACUCUAGAGAGGAACAGAACAGGGGCUGUGGCUCCCCUCAGCGCUGCCUGGCACCUGUACACCUGAAGCCACAGCCCACUGAGGUCCAGGCCUACAUACCAGCCCUGCCUGCCAAGCUUAGUGCUAACCUGAGGUGUGUAGGGGUUAAGGGGCUGGGCAUGUACCAGGUGGGGAAGGUCUCAGCUACAA